rnacentral:rRNA from 1 species
ACAGUUCGGUCCCUAUCCGUCGUGGGCGUAGGAAAUUUGAGAGGAGCUGUCCUUAGUACGAGAGGACCGGGAUGGACAUACCUCUGGUGUACCAGUUGUCGUGCCAACGGCAUAGCUGGGUAGCUAUGUAUGGACGGGAUAAGUGCUGAAAGCAUCUAAGCAUGAAGCCCCCCUCAAGAUGAGAUUUCCCAACUUCGGUUAUAAGAUCCCUCGAAGAUGACGAGGUUAAUAGGUUUGAGGUGGAAGCGUGGUGACACGUGGAGCUGACGAAUACUAAUCGAUCGAAGACUUAAUCAA